GUGGGGGAUCUCAGGGGCUGUUUUGUGAACACGGAAUGAAUUAUCGUCUCUCCUCACCAUUUAGAAGACCUGGAAAAUGAAGUCCACGGCAAAACAAAAGAUGUUUCAACAAUGCGCCAGGUCUUUAUAGAAAUAGGUCUCGUUUGUCAUUCUUGCCACGUCCAUGUGAACACAGAAGAGGAGUAAAAAUCAUCAGCGUUCAAAAGGGAAGUUAAACAUCAAACAUUCAUUUAAUAUUGAGUGAUUUUGACUUCUCAGAUGUCCCUUUAAUGCAGAGCACAGUGAUAAUUGAGGGACCCGUGUUGAGGCAGGAUGGCCGCAGUAAUAACAGAGACAUCUCUUCAACACACCAGUCAGGUCUUAAUUAUUACCUUUACAACUGUGGUUGCAGUGAAACGGGUACCAGAGGACCUAUAGCGAGAUGUCCCGCACAAUGGAGCCUCGGCACAGAUUCCUCAUUAGCAUAUGUCAGCCAUGUGCUUCAGAUGGCUAUUCAUUUCUGUCACUUAGCACUUGGAAGUGCUCAUGCUAAGAGCUGGUGUCAAGAAGAAGAUUCGCCCCACCACGAAAGCUGAUGCAGGCCGCUUGGCUUUUUUUUUUUUUUUACCAAAAUUACACAAGGCCUCUCUUCUUAUCUAAAUCUGAACCCGAGGACACCCAUCACUCGCAAUGGAUCUAUUUCAACGACUCUAUACACACAUGCACAAACACACAAAAGAACAGAGAGUGAAAGACAGAGGGGGAGAGCGAGCGCAUAAGCAUUCAUACUGUAGACAGUGCUACAUGAUCAAAGGCGACGGGGAGAGAAGGGGAAACGAGAGCUCUAAAAAUGGUUCUGCAGCUGAUUCUGUAAGUCCUGGCAGUCACUCUCUCCAAAUACACACACACACACGCACGCACGCUCGGCACUUUCAUAUUUAACUAAAGGCAGGGCCCGGCGUGUGUCACACUCCAACAGGGGGACACGCAGCUUUCGCUCGUUUGAGGAGCGGAGGCUUUGUUUCCUCUUGGUGGUGUGGCACCGAGUACCUGGGGGGUGAGAGAUUGUUUCUCUUCUCUCUUAACAGGAAACAGCAUCAGGAAUGUAGGGAAAGUGAGACAACGCAAGCAGGGAAACCCGAUUGCUCUCAAGUUUCUCAGAGACUCCGCUCCAGAAUAUGGUGCUAUAACUCCCCUACAUAAAAUCAAUGAUUUGUUUAAUUUAGACAGAGCUCGUAAAUGUGCUAAUUUCAGAGACAGCCUACAAAUCUAGAGGGCCUUGUUAUCCCAUUUGCUGCUCCAUUAGUUGGGAAAUGAUACAGCCCAGCAUGGUUAAGAAACUGAACGUUCGGUCUGGCCAUUCAAAGAAGGAAAUAAGUGACGUUGCUCUGAUUGUCAAUGAAAACAGAAUGCACACCAACACGAAUUUACAUCAGAUGACGGUUUAUUAAAAAACACAACAAGUUCAUAUAUUUCCAUACAGGCCUGGCUGUGAUCACUAUAAUACUACACUGAAAAUAGUUUGGUGUAGGAUUUACUUAACAAUUUUCACUUAGAAAUUGUGGUAACACCUUACUUAAAGCCUUUAUUAUAUAAUGCAUUAUAAAAGUAGUUUUAAUGCAUUAAUUAUGCCUUGUAAUGUACCUUAUAAUGCAUUGUACAAUCUCAUGACUUUGUAACUACAAUGUAAUACAUUAUAACACUUAUCAGUUCAUUGUUACACUAUGCAUUUUAAAUUUGGUUAUAAUUAUUUACAAGCUAUAAUGUAUUACAACACACAUUAUGAAUAAUUAUAAUGCAUUUUAGCCUUUAAUAACCCUUUAUCAUGCAUUACCCAUAAAUUUUACUUUGAGUCAAGUGUUACUGAAAUUGCUAGUAAAUUUGUACAAAUAAUUACAAAAAAUGGCAAGUCGCACACUGAAUUGAUUGUGAAAUUGUGACAUUUAUUUAUUUGUUUGUUUUCUGUGAAGCUUUUUCUUUGUACCAUCUUAAAAUAUUCAACAACAGAAAUUAAAAUGUACAAGCUAUUUGACUAAUAUAGGUUUUUAAGUUAUUAUAAAAUUCUAUAUUAUUUUAACGAUUUAAAUCGUCACAUUAUAUUAUUUUUUAUACAUUUUAUAUUACAUAACUUUUAUAUUAUAUUAUAUUAUAUCCUUAUGAAAGGGUCUGAAGGGAUCCAGUGAGUCUAUUCGUAUCUUAAGUUAUAAUCUAUAUCACUCUAUGUUCUUGUACUGGUAACAAUAUUUUAUCAGGGGUGUUAUCUCUCUCUCUCACACACACACACACACACACCAACUCUAUUCUCAGUGCCAGGCUUCAACACUCAUCUGUCUGACUUGGACUCAGCAAUUAGGGGCCACACAAGCAAAUGCCACUCAUGACCUGAAGCACAAAGCCACUGACAAACAAGCAGAGACAAAUCAAGGGGUGAUUUAAAAGCAUAGCGCUAAAAUCUCAAUAUUUGGCCAUUCAGAUUUAGCAGGCUGCCCAGACAGGGCCAUAAAUUCACCCUUCCAUAAAUAAUUAAUAUGACAGUGCAACGUAAAUCUGAGUCAACCCUGUUGGAUAAGAAAUGAAGUUUGCUGUCAUUAUUAUCAUUCUGUGGUUGACUAAAAUCUAAAUGCAAUUUAUUUGAUGUGAUAAUCCAAAGAUAAACAUAAAUGAUUACGAAUGCAAAAAAGAAAACUAAAGCCCAAACUCACAUACUCCCAACACCGAACGUCAUCACAGGCUCCGAGUUAAAAGAGCAAAAACAGAUGCUUUAUCUGACAAGACGCUUCUUUGGUUUGCCGUCACUUUGAAUUUAGAUUAUCAACUGCCACUUUAGAUGGUCGUUUAUGGUGCCGCCCCAGCGCCAGCAACCCCAGUACUCUGGGAUACACUCCCAGCAUCCAUAGAUAGACAUUUAAAUCAACUCUGGCAUGGGACAUGCUGUCUGGAUCUUAGCUCUUCUGCAGACCGUGCUCAGUAAAUCAAAUGAGGGUAAUAUGAAUCAAAUCAAGACAAUAUAUUACACUAAUUGCCUUAUCAGAUGGCUGUCUCGAAUGCUUUAAGGUCCCUUGCAAAGGGUGUUGAAGCUGUAUUCAUACACAGGGCCGUCCUUGAAUAACUCAGGCGAAACUCUAUUUGAAUAACUGUCUGCAAUAAUAAGAAAAAAAGUGGCCUGGUACAACGUCGAAGAGUGAAUUUCCAGCCUCUUAUAUCUCUCUUAACCACAUCCAAGAGUGAAAUAAGGGGCUUUGUGUUUGUGUGCGUCCAGCACAUAUGUCACAUCAGCUCCAGUGGUUUCCUGUAGGAUUAUAAGUGCGGUCUGAGCGAGUGAGAUUGGUCAACGGCACGCCGAGCCGCCACCUCUGACUGUGAGCAUGAUUCAAUGUGAUGUCCACUUUGUGUCCCUUUAUUUGCUUCUGAAAGGAAAAGCUUGUCUUUUAUGUCCCUUUCCAACCCCUGCACAGCUAAUCAUACAUCCUGUCAACACGGCUGUGUUUUACACUAAACCCUGUUGUUCUGUUUAGAAAGCUUGGAUCUGUUUAUGGUGCAGAAAUGAUGCAGCCUUAUGGUAAAAUCAAUAAAGUUGCAAGGGUUAUAAAUAUAUGAAUCUAAACGACAGCAGAGGGGGAGUAAUUAUACAAAUAAAACAUCGUGUUCUCGGCGGAAAACGCACUAGGACAUAAUUGAUUAUCAUUUUGAAGGUGAUAACGAGACAUUUUGAGUUUUGCUGUGUUGUGUAGCCCGCGUCUGCUUGUGUGGAUUUUAACUGUCUUGACAUGUCCUUGUGGAGUGAUCUCAACCGUGAUGGUAAUAACAAUAAUUAUCUUCUAAGUGUGGAAAGUCAAAGACAUGAAUAUUCUCAUACAGCGUUAAGUUCAGCAGACAAGUGCUUUCACAUGAUUUCGUCAGGACAAAUUAACAGUAAUUGCACAUUGAAUUGUUCCAGAAAUAUCAGAUGCUGUUGCUUUCUUAGUUUGACGUUCAAAGCAAGGGGUUUUUAUGAUUUGGUGGCGAUGUAUAAUUUGUUGAUCGUGGCCAUGAGGAAAUCGCAUUGAAAGAAAAACGUGUCCAGAAAUAUUAGUAGAUCAAAAAACAAGCCCACACGAACAUAAGCUAACACUCAAAGCAACCAAGACUUUAUAGUUGCAUUUGAAAAAAAAAAAAGGCAGGAUCUGCCAUCACUUUUGAUUAGUUUUUUAGUUACUCUUUCACAGGCUUUAGAUAUUUGAAAAAUUGUUAUUAAUAAGGACAUGAUUUCUGGAGAUUAACCCCUCGUUCCUUUAUCCCUGAUCCAGAGACCUUUGGAAAAUUGAUCCUGUUAGAUUGAUGGAUGUCCUGUUUAAGGGUUUGUCCUUGUGCUAGUGUUUUUGCUGUAAUCCUGAGGGCUCGUUUGUUUAAUGAUGCAAUUGUAUCUCAUUUUGUCACUUCUGUGUAAUGUCACAUUGAACAAACCUCAAGUUAUUUAAAUUUGGGUUUAAUUAGUCCUAAAGAAACAGAAACCUUUGAACAGAAUAAAUAUUUUAAGUUACUUUGAAUAUUUAAACUGACAAAUUGUCAGUUGUUUUAUAUGUUUGUAACUGUAUAGGCAUGAAUAUGUCAGCCUACUUCAUGAUGUCUGUACAAUUAGGAAACAUGUAAAUGAUUUGGCGAACAAUAAACUUUAAAAUUUGAAUGCCAUCUACAUGAUACAAUUCAACAUUUGAAUGCAGAAUAUAGCUAUGUUUCCAUUAAAAUUGUAACAUCAAAAAAAUAAAAUAUUAUAAAGUUGCAAUUCUGUCACUGUUAGUUUGGGUGAACAAAAUUGUCACUUCCAAAACUUGUGUGAAAUGGCAGCCAUUUAAAAAAUAUAUUCUGCUAAUUGAGGUCAAGAGCAUAAACAAAAUGAUCAGAUGAAUUUCAUGUUUUCUAGCAAUUGUGUUGUAUCUGGGAGCAACACCAUGUCUGACAAUUUAGUUUGGAAAAAGUCUGGAAAAAAAGUUUCCAAUAAUUUUUUUUUGUGCUUCCAUCCAAAAGUGGCAUUAAAAUAUGUGGACAACCUCCCAGCUAAUGAAUGAUAGUGCAGCGGUCAUGUUGACCACUGUGUAAACAAAACCUGGACUGAUGACCAUCACAGUAAUAUAGCCAUUUAGCACAGGAUGUGUGGUCAAAAUGGGCUUCAUUAUGGAGGUGCGUCAUGGGGGCCCGUUAUCAGGCACUGCACCAUGGGUCCAACUGCCUGAGAUAGAGACAACGCUGUGAACCAAGCCUUGAUGUUUACAUACAACAUAUUAGUCCCCCUGGAAAAACAGGGGGCUUUGUCCCAAAUUUCCAUUUCCUCUCCCACCGUUUAACUGGCCUCAUCAA